UGAACAGAAGCUAUAAACUAUGAUUUACAUAGACAGAUAAAGCUGGGUAUUUGAAAGUUUGAAUGGAAGGAACGGUCGGCAAAAGCCUUGCAUCGGAUAUCUAUGAAGGCAACCUGAUGUAUAGUAUGAUCAUGAGUUUGAUGCACGCAGGGCAACGAGGAAUACAGAGUAUCCGGCAUGAAGAAUUUAGAGAUCUCAGACAAGUUUUUUCUUUCGUUUAUCCUAUAGCUAAGCCAAGAAGGAUCCGUGUAGAGAAUCACCAUUCCAUUCCACCCUUUGAAAGUCAGAAUUUUUCAAAGCUUUUCUGCUUUCAACAUACACACCAGGUGGCAGUCAUCAACGACUUACCAGAUUACUUGCUUGACUUUCUGGAUUCUCAGUUCCAACGGAUUUGGAGAUGCAAAAUUAUAUUCCUUCAGCAACUAUAUAUUUUGAGUACUUAGGUGGCAUUUCUUUCUGGGAUUUUCAUCA